CUGAGGGCUAUAACAAUCACACCAAGGCUCUCAAUCACCUGAUAUCCUGGCAUAUGCAGUGAAGAGCGUGGAUUCCUCCCUCCGCUGCGCCGAUGCGGCCCUUCUCGCUGCAAGAGCUCACCUCCCACGGAGCAGGGACGGAAGUCAGUGUGCAUACAUCCGGCUACUCCUGGGGGCCCCCCCGGAUGGGGCGAUAAGGAGCGUGACUCUGUGGUGCCCCCUCUGUUAUAGUAGAUGAAGAUAAAAUAAGGUUGAAAUGAAGUGAUAAAGUAGAACAAUACUUCCAGAGACUGGCAUGGCACUCACAUCUUCAAUAUAAUCUGGCUGGACAACUGAAAAAAAAUGGAAAAAU